AAGCUGCUAACGAGCUAUGAGGUGCCCGUACCGCAAACCGACACAGGUAGGCGAGGAGAGAAUCCUAAGACGAACGGGAGAACCCUUGUUAAGGAACUCGGCAAAAUGACCCCGUAACUUCGGGAGAAGGGGAACCACGCGAGUGGUCGCAGUGAAUAGGCCCAAGCGACUGUUUACCAAAAACACAGGUAUCUGCGAAAGCGAGAGCUGACGUAUAGGUGCUGACGCCUGCCCGGUGCUGGAAGGUUAAGGGGAAAUGUCAUCGCAAGAGAAGCAUAGAACUGAAGCCCCAGUAAACGGCGGCCGUAACGAUAACGGUCCUAAGGUAGCGAAAUUCCUUGUCGGGUAAGUUCCGACCCGCACGAAUGGCGUAACGACUUGGGCACUGUCUCAACAAGGGACCCGGUGAAAUUGAAGUAUGUGUGAAGAUGCACAUUACCCGCGACUGGACGGAAAGACCCCGUAGAGCUUUACUGCAGCCUGAUAUUGGAUUUUGGCAACAGAUGUACAGGAUAGGUGGGAGCCAGAGAAGCGAGGACGCCAGUCUUCGUGGAGGCGCCGUUGGGAUACCACUCUUUUGUUGCUGAAAUUCUAACCUGUAACAGUAAACCUGGACAAGGACAGUUUCAGGCAGGCAGUUUGACUGGGGCGGUCGCCUCCUAAAGAGUAACGGAGGCGUCCAAAGGUUACCUCAGAAUGGAUGGAAACCAUUCGAAGAGUGCAAAGGCAGAAGGUAGCCUGACUGCGAGAGAGACAUCUCGAGCAGAGAGGAAACUCGGGCUUAGUGAUCCGGCGGUAGAAAGUGGAAUUGCCGUCGCUUAACGGAUAAAAGUUACCUCGGGGAUAACAGGCUGAUCUCCCCCAAGAGUCCACAUCGACGGGGAGGUUUGGCACCUCGAUGUCGGCUCGUCGCAUCCUGGGGCCGAAGCAGGUUCCAAGGGUUUGGCUGUUCGCCAAUUAAAGCGGCACGCGAGCUGGGUUCAGAACGUCGUGAGACAGUUCGGUCCCUAUCCAUCGUGGGCGCAGGAAUCAUGAGAGGAGCUGUUCCUAGUACGAGAGGACCGGAAUGGACGUAUCACUGGUGCAACUGUUGUCGUGCCAACGGCAUAGCAGGGAAGCGAAAUACGGACAGGAUAAACGCUGAAGGCAUCUAAGCGUGAAGCCCACCUCAAGAAGAAGAUUCCCACAGCGCAAGCUGGUAAGACCCCUUGAAGACGACAAGGUAGAUAGGUUGGCGGUGUAAACUCAGCAAUGAGGAAGCUUGCCAAUACUAAUGGGUCGAGGGCUUGAUC
rnacentral:rRNA from 1 species